ACGUAUACAUGUACUAAAAAACUGGAAGGAUACAGAGAUGAGCAUGGCCCCUGUCCAAGGAUGACAUGCAAAUUUGUGAAGCAUUGCAUUAAAAA
ensembl:snRNA U6 U6 spliceosomal RNA